rnacentral:rRNA from 1 species
UAAGCAUAUUAAUCAGCGGAGGAAAAGAAACUAACCAGGAUUCCCCUAGUAACUGCGAGUGAAGAGGGGAUCGGCUCAAUGUGUG